UUGGCGUUGCUCUCAGGGUUGGUCAGAUGAGGGAACAUGAGUUUUCCAUUGUUAGCACGUCUGUAAAUAAGAGCUAGCAAAUGCAUCUUUACAUCUUGGAAAGCGUAUUUACUCUCAUCUGAAGCUGCAUCUCAUAUUUGACCGUUGGCGGGGACCAGAGCAAAGGCGCAAGAAGCUCCUUCACUAGCGAGAAACUGGCCAACUCUCCACCAACUGUGGCCUUGCCUGUCCCGAGACUGAGGAUGUUGGCUGCUUUAGAAGGGUUGUGUCCACCGCUGCCUAUAACGGAAGUGCGUGAAUUGUCCUCAGCUUCCUCAUCUGUAAAAUGGGGUUACGAAGCCUCCUGCAGAGGGUUGUGAAAUUGCAGGUUAGGGGAUUCCUGGAUGGCGCAGCGGUUUGGCGCCUGCCUUUGGCCCAGGGCGCGAUCCUGGAGACCCGGGAUCGAAUCCCACGUCGGGCUCCUGGUGCAUGGAGCCUGCUUCUCCCUCUGCCUGUGUCUCUGCCUCUCUCUCUCUGUGUGACUAUCAUAAAUAAAUAAAAAAAAAUUAAAAAAAAAUAAAUUGCAGGUUAGGUGGUUUCUUUUAUUCA
rnacentral:lncRNA from 12 species